CUCCAGACUCCUACGGGAGGCAGCAGUAAGGGAUAUUGGUCAAUGGGGGAAACCCUGAUGCAGCGACGCCGCGUGGGCGAAGAGGUAUUUCGGUAUGUAAAGCCCUAUCAGCAGGGAAGAAGAAAUGACGGUACCUGAGUAAGAAGCACCAGCUAGAUACGUGCCAGCAGCCGCGGUAAUACGUAUGGUGCAAGCGUUAUCCGGAUUUACUGGGUGUAAAGGGAGCGCAGGCGGCACGGCAAGCCUGAUGUGAAAGCCCGCGGCCCAACCGCGGGACUGCAUUGGGAACUACCGGGCUGGAGUGCCGGAGAGGUAGGCGGAAUUCCUAGUGUAGCGGUGAAAUGCGUAGAUAUCAGGAGGAACACCGGUGGCGAAGGCGGCCUGCUGGACUGCAACUGACGUUGAGGCCCGAAAGCGUGGGGAGCAAACAGGAUUAGAUACCCUCGUACU
rnacentral:rRNA from 1 species